UACAAUAAAUAUGAAAACACCAAAUCCUUUUAGUUUGUCUUGCUCAUUCAACACUUUAAAAGUUAAAACCCACUUAACAGAAACCACUAGAGCCAUUUACACCUGCCUCCUCCUUCGCUAAACGCCGCCGCCGAAAUUAGCCAAAGGCAACCGCACCGCCCUGCCGGUCUAGGCAUGAUUUACUCGUGAUUUCUUUUUCUUACGGCCUUUUCUUCCACUGCAAGUAAACCCAUUUUCACUCUCCCCCCCUGUACGACCCAUUUGGUUGUCCGUGUAUUAUCUUUUGUUGCCUUAAUAUGAAGAUGGACAAGAAUCCAAGCAGGGCAAUUUCUUUGUUCUGGGCCGCGAUAAAUGCUGGGGACCGGGUCGAUAGUGCCUUGAAACAUGUCAAUUGUGAUGAGAUAAUCGGAUCCAUCUGAUGAAGCAAUUGAGGCUCUUAAAUCUUUCAUGGCUUUGGUUCUCUAUUAAUGCAGUAUACUAGGGAAACUUGGCCUGAAUAGUAGUUUUGUUGGAAUUUCACUUUGAUCCAAGACUAGUUGAAUGAAAUUUGUUGAAGGAAUUUUGUUUGGAUUGUCUUAAUGUUUUAUCAAUGAUGGGAAUCUCAUUUCGCC